GGCAACGACGGGCCAGCAGCCUGGGGAAGAUGGAGGGGCGGAGGGGUGUGCGGAAGUAAUGGGGGGAAGUGGCUGGUGGGCGGGUCGUCAGGGCGGGAGUGAAAACGCGGGGCUUAACCCCGAGCCUGCUUCCGAUACGGGCAGACUAGAGGUAGGCAGGGGAGAGCGGAACUCCUGGUGUAGCGGUGGAAUGCGCAGAUAUCAGGAAGAACACCGGUGGCGAAGGCGGCUCUCUGGGCCUUACCUGACGCUGAGGAGCGAAAGCGUGGGUAGCGAACAGGAUUAGAUACCCCUGUAGUC
rnacentral:rRNA from 1 species